CAGUUAGAAGGGCCCUGGAGAAAGCAUCGGCUCUCUCCCAGAAGGAGAAACAGGAAGCGUGGGACUGAAGUUAGCUGCAGAGUCAGGGCCACUCUCCUCUACCCAGUGAGCCCCGGAAUGUCUGUGCUGAUCCUGAGCCAGGCUACCUCCACAGAGCCACCUGCUGGGCGCGACAUCAAGCUCCAGAUGCCUGGUCAGGGCCUGCAGCAGCCAUUGCUCCUGCCGGGUCCCCAAACCCAAGGCUGUGGCUCACACACGGCUGACCCGGGCAUGGAUGCUUCUGGCUUCAUCUGAGUCUGAGAGAAGUUUUAUUCUCUGAAGAAGUAGAAAAAGACCCCAGAAAACCCAAGACGUGUGGAAAAUGACUCAUCCAUGCAGGGGCAACAGCUAAAAAGAAUUCACAGUAGCCACCCUGGCUACCAGAACAUGGAAAACAUGAGUGGGAUUUUUUUUAUUUGUAUGGAGCAGUGUGUUUUACCUUCUGACUAGCGUGCAUCCAUAGUAUAAAACGAUGAUGGGA